UCAGCUAAUUUUCAGAAGGGUGAGUCUG
rnacentral:piRNA from 1 species